rnacentral:lncRNA from 1 species
CUGUGACAAGCGCUGCGGCAUUUGUCCCCGCGACAGCACCGCUGCCGCCGUCUCUAAGGUCGCCCGGGUCCCACCGCCGCCACCAUGCCUCGGGGAAGCCGCAGCGCGGCGUCCCGGCCAGCCAGGCCCCCACCCCCGCUGCCCCCCAGCCCCUGCAGAUGGGGCCCUGCGCCUACGAGAUCAGGCAGUUCCUGGACUGUUCCACCACUCAGAGUGACCUGUCCCUGUGUGAGGGCUUCAGCGAGGCCCUGAAGCAGUGCAAGUACAACCAUGGUCUGAGCUCCCUGCCCUGAAGAGGUCGGUGCAGACUCGGGGGCCAGUCCUGCACCCACCUCUACCCCUCGCCGACAGCCAGACCACAACACCAGAUUGUACCCAGAUAGCUGGGAUUGGAAGUGAGGAGGUUUCUCACCCCACAGAUAACCCAAGACACAAAUGUGCAAUUAAAAGUUUAUUUUAGACCACA